GAUGAACGCUAGCGGGAGGCCUAACACAUGCAAGCCGAGCGGUAUUAUUUCUUCGGAAAUGAGAGAGCGGCGUACGGGUGCGGAACACGUGUGCAACCUGCCUUUAUCUAGGGGAUAGCCUUUCGAAAGGAAGAUUAAUACCCUAUAAUAUAUUUUUUGGCAUCGAAAGAUAUUGAAAACUCCGGUGGAUAGAGAUGGGCACGCGCAAGAUUAGCUAGUUGGUGAGGUAACGGCUCACCAAGGCAAUGAUCUUUAGGGGGCCUGAGAGGGUGAUCCCCCACACUGGUACUGAGACACGGACCAGACUCCUACGGGAGGCAGCAGUGAGGAAUAUUGGUCAAUGGGUGCAAGCCUGAACCAGCCAUCCCGCGUGAAGGACGACUGCCCUAUGGGUUGUAAACUUCUUUUGUAUAGGGAUAAACCUACCCUCGUGAGGGUAGCUGAAGGUACUAUACGAAUAAGCACCGGCUAACUCCGUGCCAGCCGCCGCGGUAA
rnacentral:rRNA from 1 species